AGAAUCAACGCUGGCGGCGUGCCUCAGACAUGCAAGUCGAACGCGAAAGUCCCCUUCGGGGGCGAGUAGAGUGGCGCACGGGUGAGUAACACGUAGGUAAUCUACCUUUGGAUGGGGAAGUAACAAUCGGAAACGAUUGCUAAUACCGCAUAAUGCAGCGGCACCUAAUGGUGACAGUUGUUAAAGCGGGGGAUCGAAAGACCUCGCGUCUAAAGAGGAGCCUGCGGCGGAUUAGCUAGUUGGUAAGGUAAUGGCUUACCAAGGCGACGAUCCGUAACC
rnacentral:rRNA from 1 species